rnacentral:rRNA from 1 species
ACGCGAAGAACCUUACCUGGGCUUGACAUGUUCCUGACCGUCCUGGAAACAGGGCUUCCCUUCGGGGCAGGAUCACAGGUGGUGCAUGGCUGUCGUCAGCUCGUGUCGUGAGAUGUUGGGUUAAGUCCCGCAACGAGCGCAACCCCCGUCGUAUGUUGCCAGCAUUUAGUUGGGGACUCAUGCGAGACUGCCGGUGACAAACCGGAGGAAGGUGGGGAUGACGUCAAGUCAUCAUGCCCCUUAUGUCCAGGGCUACACACGUGCUACAUUGGCGCGUACAGAGGGCUGCGAUACCGCGAGGUGGAGCGAAUCCCUUAAAGCGCGUCUCGGUUCGGAUUGCAGGCUGAAACCCGCCUGCAUGAAGGCGGAGUUGCUAGUAAUCGCGGAUCAGCAUUGCCGCGGUGAAUACGUUCCCGGGCCUUGUACACACCG